AGGGAGGUUGGGGAUCAUCUCAAUGUGGUACGUUUAAUUUUUCGUGGCCAUUUGGGAGGAUAAACGGGCAAAACAGUGUGAAUGGUGCAUAUUCGGGACAAAUCGGUGUGCUAAAGUCCAUGGUUUCAGGGGUGGGUCUGGGGUAUAGCUGUGUUGAACGCUAAAAAUUGAUCGAGGUGUUCCAGAGAGUUUGGGGAUUGUCCCAGUGUGGUCCGUUUAAUUUUUUGUGGCCAUUUUGGG
rnacentral:lncRNA from 1 species